UGGAUUAAGAGCUUGCUUAUAGAAGUUAUGCGGCGGACGGGUGAGUAACACGUGGGUAACCUGCCCAUAAGACUGGGAUAACUCCGGGAAACCGGGGCUAAUACCGGAUAAYAUUUUGAACYGCAUGGUUCGAAAUUGAAAGGCGGCUUCGGCUGUCACUUAUGGAUGGACCCGCGUCGCAUUAGCUAGUUGGUGAGGUAACGGCUCACCAAGGCAACGAUGCGUAGCCGACCUGAGAGGGUGAUCGGCCACACUGGGACUGAGACACGGCCCAGACUCCUACGGGAGGCAGCAGUAGGGAAUCUUCCGCAAUGGACGAAAGUCUGACGGAGCAACGCCGCGUGAGUGAUGAAGGCUUUCGGGUCGUAAAACUCUGUUGUUAGGGAAGAACAAGUGCUANUUGAAUAAGCUGGCACCUUGACGGUACCUAACCAGAAAGCCACGGCUAACUACGUGCCAGCAGCCGCGGUAAUACGUAGGUGGCAAGCGUUAUCCGGAAUUAUUGGGCGUAAAGCGCGCGCAUGUGGUUUCUUAAUUUUGAUGUGAAAGCCCCGGUCCCAACCCGGGAGGGUUAUUGGAAACUGGGAAACCUUACUGUAAAGAGGGAAAGUGAAAUUUCCAUUUGUAACCGUUAAAUGCGGUGGGGAUUUGGAGGAACACCAGUGCGGAUGGGUACCUUCGGUCUGUACACUCAUUGGGGGGCGAAAAGGUGGGAAGCAACCGAGCUGAUUAGUUUCCUUGGUAUCCCCCCCGGAAAACGAGGAGUGCUAAGGGUAAAGGGGUUUUCCCCCUUUAUUGUGGAAUUUAACGCUUUAACCACCCCCCCGGGGGGGUACGGCGGCAGGGUUAAAAUUAAAAGAAUUUGACGGGGGCCCGCCCAAGGGGUGAACCUGUUGGUUUAUUUGGAACCAACGGGAAAAACUUUACCAGUUUUUAACUCCUUUUGACAACCCUAAAAAUAGGGUUUUUCUUUGGGGACCAGAUUACCAGGUGGUCCAUGUUGGUCUUCAGCUCGGGUGUUAAAAUGUUGGGUUAAUUCCCGCAAGAAGGCCACCCUUUAUUUUUAGUUGCCACCAUUAAGUGGGCCAUUUUAAGGUGAUUCCCGGUGACAAACCGGGGGAAGGGGGGGAGGACGUGAAUUCUUCUUCCCCUUUUUACCUUGGGUUCCCCACGUGUUCCAAUGGAGGGUACAAAAAGCUGCAAGACCGGGAGGGGGAGUUAUUUUCAAAAAACCGUUUUCAGUUCGGAUUGUAGGUUCCAAUUCGCCUCCAUGAAGCGGGAAUCGUUGGUAAUCGGGGAUCACCAGGCCGGGGUGAAUACGUUCCCGGCCCUUGUCCACCCCCCCCGUAAGGACCCGAGAGUUUGUACCACCGGAGGUCGGUGGGGUACCCUUUUGGAGCCAGCCGCCUAAGGUGGGACAGAUGAUUGGGGUGAAGUCGUAACAA
rnacentral:rRNA from 1 species